GUGUUGGGAUUGACCUCCUCGGACGAUUUCCAAUGUCUACUAGUGGCAAUAGAUGGAUUAUUGUUUACACUGAUUAUCUGACGCGCUAUGCCAUUACAAAAGUCGUGAAAACAGCCAAAGCAUUCGAGUUAGCCUAAUUUAUUGUAGAAGACAUUGUAUUAAAACACAGUGCCCCAAGAUCAUUAAUUACGGAUCGAGGGAACGUUUUCCAAUCGAUUCUUGUGACAGAGAUAAACUGUCGGUGCAAAAUUACUCAUCACGUGACGACUACUUACCUUCCGCAAACUAACAGGCAUACUGAAUGCCUUAGUAAGACCUUGGCCAAAAUGCUAUCAGUGUUGAGCAGAGCAACUGGGAUGAGGUGACAUUUGCCUACAACACCGCCAAAUGAGGCACGACAAGAUUUAUGCCAUUUUUCCUGGUACAUGGGCGUGUUUCCAUUGCGUCCUGAUGACGUGGACGACGACUACAUCGGCCGGGUGUUAACCAGAGCUGAGGAAGCUCAGCAGUGAGCUCGACUCCGCACACUGCAGGCUCAAGAAAAUGAUCACCGAAGAUAGGAUGCAAGCCACCACCCUGUUGUUUACCAGUCUGGCGACCUUGUCUGGAUCUUCACUCCUGUUCGGAAGUUGCAGAUUUCGACCCCGACACAAGACGACGAAAGAUAAGAGAUACGGUCCACAUCCUUCGAAUGAAGCCCUAAGAGGAUCCUGCAACCCAGGGUAAAUUCGAAGCUCCAGCGACAGGCAGCAAGUGGAAAGGUGGUGAAGAAUGUAGCGGCAAGGGAAAUUAUAAGAAGAUCACCGUGAAGGCGAAUGUCAGUCAUCGGGAGUCGGAGUAUGCAGGACUGAUGACUCGUUCCCAGACUAGGAGGUCAUAACACUGAAACGCUUUUCUCUUGAGGAGGGAGCAGUGUUGCAGUAGAAGCUGAGGAGCACAGUCGCCAUAGUGUAGUGGCUAUGAUGCUAGAGUGUUCAAUGAAGGGUCGUGAGUUCAAAAACUCACCUGAACUGUAAAAUUUUAAUAUCUAUAUCCGGUUCGAGUACAUUCUAGAAGUAUCCACAAAUGGCAAGAAUCACUGUACUGGAAAGUUCUGUAGCAGUAUAUAGAUACUGUAUGUGUUCUGGCCGGAGGCAGUUCACUCCGCGCUCUUGUAUGUGCAAGUGCUGAAUAAACCUUCGUUAAGUGAA